GCCUGGGUAGCUCAGUUGGUUAGACCGUGAUGCUGAUAAUGCCAAGUUUGCAGGUUAGAUCCCCGUUUGGGGCA
rnacentral:tRNA from 1 species